GGGGGUGUAGCUCAGCUGGGAGAGCACCUGCUUUGCACGCAGGGGGUCAGGAGUUCGAUUCUCCUCAUCUCCACCA
rnacentral:tRNA from 2 species